rnacentral:rRNA from 1 species
GAGUUUGAUUCUGGCUCAGGAUGAACGCUGGCGGCGUGCUUAACACAUGCAAGUCGAACGGGCGAAUUAUAUCGGAGGUCUUCGGGCCGAAGAGAUAAUAAGCUAGUGGCGGACGGGUGCGUAACGUGUGGGUAAUCUGCCUUUGUCAUAGGAAUAACUGCUUGAAAAAGUAGCUAAUACCAAAUAACAUAUCGUAUAGGCAUCUAUAAGAUAUCAAAGAGAAAUCGGACAAAGAUGAGCCCGCAUCUGAUUAGCUGGUUGGUAGGGUAAAAGCCUACCAAGGCGACGAUCAGUAGCCGGCCUGAGAGGGUGAACGGCCACAUUGGAACUGAGACACGGUCCAAACUCCUACGGGAGGCAGCAGUGGGGAAUAUUGCACAAUGGGGGGAACCCUGAUGCAGCAACGCCGCGUGAGUGAAGAAGGCUUUCGAGUCGUAAAACUCUGUU